rnacentral:rRNA from 1 species
AAGGUAGCGAAAUUCCUUGUCGGGUAAGUUCCGACCUGCACGAAUGGCGUAACGACUUCCCCGCUGUCUCCAACAUAGACUCAGCGAAAUUGAAUUACCGGUCAAGAUGCCGGUUACCCGCGGUUAGACGGAAAGACCCCGUGCACCUUUACUACAACUUCACACUGGCAUUAGGCCGAACAUGUGCAGGAUAGGUGGUGGGCUUUGAAGCGUGGACGCCAGUCUGCGUGGAGCCUCCCUUGAGAUACCACCCUUGUUCUGCUUGAUGUCUAACCGCGGUCCGUUAUCCGGAUCCGGGACCCUGUGUGGUGGGUAGUUUGACUGGGGCGGUCGCCUCCUAAAUCGUAACGGAGGCGCGCGAAGGUUGGCUCAGAGCGGUCGGAAAUCGCUCGUUGAGUGCAAUGGCAGAAGCCAGCCUGACUGCGAGACUGACAAGUCGAGCAGAGUCGAAAGACGGCCAUAGUGAUCCGGUGGUCCCAAGUGGGAGGGCCAUCGCUCAACGGAUAAAAGGUACGCCGGGGAUAACAGGCUGAUACUGCCCAAGAGUCCAUAUCGACGGCAGUGUUUGGCACCUCGAUGUCGGCUCAUCUCAUCCUGGGGCUGGAGCAGGUCCCAAGGGUACGGCUGUUCGCCGUUUAAAGAGGUACGUGAGCUGGGUUUAGAACGUCGUGAGACAGUUCGGUCCCUAUCUUCCGUGGGUGUAGGAUACUUGAGAGGAGUUGCCCCUAGUACGAGAGGACCGGGGUGAACGAUCCACUGGUGGACCAGUUGUUAUGCCAAUAGCAGUGCUGGGUAGCUAUGAUCGGACAGGAUAACCGCUGAAGGCAUCUAAGCGGGAAGCCCCCCUCAAAACAAGGUAUCCCUGAGAGCCGAGAUAGACCAUCUCGUCGAUAGGCCAGAGAUGUAAGCGUAGUAAUACGUUCAGUUGACUGGUACUAAUUGCUCGAUAGGCUUGAUUUG